rnacentral:lncRNA from 1 species
AAAUAACAAAAAACAAAAAACAAUUAUUUUGCAACUAUUUUUGGAAGACAGUAUAAUGAAUAGCGGAUGGAGAGGAAUUAUAGCGAGUUGUCUCUUUUGGUUUUAACCACUGUUUCCUUUCUAAGAGUCGAGUCGGCAGUCAUCCCAACCUCCCGGGAAGUAAGUGUUCUGUUAUUAUACCUCCUACGGGUGGAUUUCUUAACUACUGUUGGAAUCGUGGCCAAAAAGAUUGUCAAAUCAAGCCCCACCCGGUGACCAUUGGAGAUAAUAAUCAUUGCUGGUGCACGAAGUAGGAUAUGGUAAAUAAAUAUAUUGACUAUGACAUACAUUGAUCAUGUUAGCUUGUACAGUAGUAACAAAUUCCACAAGGUGACUGCGGUUUGAGCGGUGCGUGACAAGCGGUUCAACUGCGGUGCGGUUCCAACAGUUAUAAAAAUGUAUAAAUAUAUAGUAUAUGUAUAGAUUUUUGUUACUAUUAACUGCGGGACGGGACGGAACAAUGGUCACCAUUCGAAGUACUAUUAUUAUAUAUAUCUCAAUUAAUUUGUUAAAACUAAUGUUUUACAUUUUUAAUAUAUUUCAUACAAUGAAAAAUGUUCUUAAUUUAUAUUAUAUGCAAUUCCAAAAUAUAUAUUUUGAGUAUAA